rnacentral:rRNA from 1 species
UACAGAGGGGGCAAGCGUUAUUCGGAAUUAUUGGGCGUAAAGGGCGCGUAGGCGGCAUGGCAAGUGGAUGGUGAAAUCCCUCGGCUUAACCGAGGAACUGCCGUCCAAACUGCUUCGCUUGAGACCGGGAGAGGUGAGUGGAAUUCCCAGUGUAGCGGUGAAAUGCGUAGAUAUUGGGAGGAACACCAGUGGCGAAGGCGGCUCACUGGACCGGUACUGACGCUGAUGUGCGAAAGCGUGGGGAGCAAACGGG